AAAAGUAGUUCGGUCCGAUAUUAAAAAGGCUAUUCAAUCUUGAUGUACGUUAUCUCUAAAUCUCGAUUGUAUCUUCAAACGAACGUUCAAAGUAAUUGUAUAGUAUUGGCGAUAAGAGUGAUACCGUGUUACGCGUCGAGAUUAUUAUUAGAAUUAAGCUCGUAUUACAAACGUUGAAUUUAGCACGCAUAUAGAAAUAUUCUUAACUCGCAAGGAAACGCGAUACCUCUCCCUCUCUCUUUCUCUCUCUCUCUCCAUCUUGUGAGUUACGUAAUUUCGAUAACGCGUCGUAAUUCGAAUAGCAAAUACAACUGCAUCGUAUUAGAAGAUGUAAACCACGGACGCGGGGAUCGUGACGUAACUAUAUUACGAGCCCGAGAGUUGCUCGAUCGCUGCCGAUAAAACAGAACGUGUCGCGGUCUCGAUUCCGUACGAACGACACGUACGAUACGAUGUAUUUCGCUUUACCGCGCUGGUUCAGCGUUUAUUCGUCCGAGCCGUGAAAUGAACGUGUUCUGUCCUCGUGGUGUUAAAGACAGGAGCGAAGAAGAUGAGUAAAUAAGGCUGCGACAGCUGCGAGUGUAGCAGGCAGAAACUACGCGGCGGUUCACGGAUCCCAUAAAUCUAAUCUAAUAGAUGACGUGAACAUUUUCAAAAAUCCGCGUAACUGUCGCUGGUUAACGAUGAGUCGUCACGGUUCUCGAAGGAGAGAUCUUCACGAUCGCGUGCAUCCGUUUGGAUGAUCGAAGUACGAUCGCAUAGGAAAUCGGAGAGAUCGCAUGGUAACGUGGUGCGCGUAUCGGUUUUCGUCACGGUCGGCGGAGGCACUCGUUUUAAAUUUUCUUAAAGACAACGCGGGGCAAGGAGACGCGACAACGACGACGACGAGGCUCGCGACAGAGGAGCAUGGAACGCGCACAGAGAACAGUUGUUCGCAUAUGCCAACAAAUUGUCCAGCGAACAUAGAGAAGGAGUGAUGGGCAGUAAGAGCAAGGGGAACACGGAGCCACGCCGAUUGCAACGUGACCGCGUCCCCGCGUACCUUUUCAUUGGCCAACACCGUCACGUGGUCCGCGAGUCACGUUGCAGCCGCCGUGGUUCUUACAUGACUGAUGUAACGAUUGAACGAAGGUGCUGUAAUUACGCGUUCACUCCUCGAUCACGAAUUUAACGACGGGGCUUUCACCGCCGAACGUUUUUAGCGAAAUCGAUAGCGUGAGCGACGAUUGACGAUGGACGAGUCCCGGAUUCGGACGUUCAAUUUUAAUUUAGACACCGACACUAAUUUAAUUAAAUACCGGAACGAGAUGAAAGGAAACACAAGUUUCACCCACUCGGAUCGUCCCUCCUUCAUCUUCUAGUCUCGAACUACGUUCCUCGCCACACUUCGUUUAAUAAUACUUAUUCCCCGACGAUAUCGUGUACUGUAGUCAAUCUAUUCGUAGAUAUUUUCUUUAUACAUUCGUAAAUCUUAUAGAUUACUUAGUUCCAUCCAUACUCGAUAUUGUAAUUUCAAUCGCGGUUAGUCGUGUAUCGCUCAGCGUGCGCGAUAAUACAAUUAAUCGUAAGUAUCUAUAAACCAUGUAAAAAAAGUGAAGGACUAUCGCUAUUGACGGAAUAAGAAAUAAACCUAAACGUUAUCAUGUCUGGCGGACGAUUCUCAUCGUCGCAGCGUUAUGCAAAUCCGAAGCUGGAUCAAGCACUGUAUCACUGCUCACAGUCUCUCCUUCGCGAUUUUCCACGUAUUAACGGUAGUUGGUACGUAAUUAUAAGCGGACAAUCUAUAGUCGAGUAGCAAUCAACAGACCAUGCGUUUACAGUCUCCUGAAGCAAAACAUGGCUCAUGGGUUCGUUUCAACGAUGUCUUAUGUGAUAACGCUAUUUCAUUGAUAAUGCAUUAACGUAGAAUGAAAUACGAUGAGUAAAUGAGAGAAAAUAGAUUGUAUAUUAACGACAUGAUUCUAAUUAUGUAUAAAGUCAGCUUGUUUAGGGUUUACAAGUCUUGAUCGAAAACUGAUCAAACGAAUUUGAUUUGAUGAGAACGUUACCAUCCUCUGUGAGUUCUGUAGGGCCGUCUGCAUGAAAAGUGUAUAUGCUAGUCGAAGCUAAGAGGAAUUGCGUGUUCCAAAUGACGUAAAAGAUAGAAAGAAACGUUUGGUAGUAGAAACGUGUACGUCAUCGGAUGAUGAAAGAAACGGGAAGCGCUGAAAGCGUAGGACUCUUCUGACUUAGUUAAAAUUCGUUUGUAUGAAAUACAGUAGACGAUCGCCGUUGUACAAAGUGUUACGCAUAAAAAAAUGUUUUUCUAAAACGUAUACAGAUCUCAGUUGCACGUCAGCUGAAACUUCCGUCUCCCAGGAUCGAUAUCUAUGCCCUCCUCGUAAAAUAAGUGGGUGUUCAAUUACGCAUUUAACAUAUUUUAUUAGAAAACGCGAUAACAGUAUCUACUACAGUAUAUAUAUUGUUCUUUAGACAUAGUAACUCGUUUUAAAGCUAUGAUUUUAAUCUCAAGAAUCCCCACGCUUUUUGUAUCAGUCAAAUGCGUCUCCCGCUAACUAUGUAGUAUUAUAUGCACAAUUUGAAGAGCGAAAAGGCAAUAAAAUUGGUAAGUUACUCUUCGGGACAAGACCGUUUCUAAAAGAGACUCGUUCAAAGACUCGUUUACUUAGUGAUCGCGUUCAACAGUGAUUCGUUAACAUCGAACGUAAAUAAAGACGUUCAUAAAACAUUUGUUUAAGCGCAUUGAAAAAUCUCUUAUUCCUUUUCACGGUCACAUUAAUUACAUCCAGGAACGUCCAUUUGGA